UACGGAGGGGACUAGCGUUGUUCGGAAUUACUGGGCGUAAAGCGCGCGUAGGCGGUUUUGCAAGUUGGGGGUGAAAGCCCGAGGCUCAACCUCGGAACUGCCCUCGAUACUGCAAAUCUCGAGUCCGAGAGAGGUGAGUGGAAUUCCUAGUGUAGAGGUGAAAUUCGUAGAUAUUAGGAAGAACACCAGUGGCGAAGGCGGCUCACUGGCUCGGUACUGACGCUGAGGCGCGAAAGCUAGGGGAGCAAACAGG
rnacentral:rRNA from 1 species